rnacentral:rRNA from 1 species
GACGAACGCUGGCGGCGUGCUUAACACAUGCAAGUCGAACGGAAAGGCCUCAGCUUGCUGGGGUACUCGAGUGGCGAACGGGUGAGUAACACGUGGGUGAUCUGCCUUGCACUCUGGGAUAAGCUUGGGAAACUGGGUCUAAUACCGGAUAUGAACUGCCUUUAGUGUGGUGGUUGGAAAGUUUUUUCGGUGCAAGAUGAGCUCGCGGCCUAUCAGCUUGUUGGUGGGGUAAUGGCCUACCAAGGCGUCGACGGGUAGCCGGCCUGAGAGGGUGUACGGCCACAUUGGGACUGAGAUACGGCCCAGACUCCUACGGGAGGCAGCAGUGGGGAAUAUUGCACAAGGGGCGGAAGCCUGAUGCAGCGACGCCGCGUGGGGGAUGACGGCCUUCGGGUUGUAAACUCCUUUCGACAGGGACGAAGCUUUUUGUGACGGUACCUGUAUAAGAAGCACCGGCUAACUACGUG